UUACGGGUGGCACCAGUGGGGAAUAUUGCACAAUGGAGGAAACUCUGAUGCAGCAACGCCGCGUGGAGGAUGACACUUUUCGGAGCGUAAACUCCUUUUAUAUAGGAAGAAGAUGACGGUACUAUAUGAAUAAGCGCCGGCUAACUCCGUGCCAGCAGCCGCGGUAAUACGGAGGGCGCAAGCGUUACUCGGAAUCACUGGGCGUAAAGAGCGUGUAGGCGGAUUAAAAAGUCAGAAGUGAAAUCCUAUAGCUUAACUAUAGAACUGCUUCUGAAACUCUUAAUCUAGAAGGUGGGAGAGGUAGAUGGAAUUUCUGGUGUAGGGGUAAAAUCCGUAGAGAUCAGAAGGAAUACCGAUUGCGAAGGCGAUCUACUAGAACAUUAUUGACGCUGAGACGCGAAAGCGUGGGGAGCAAACAGGAUUAGAUACCCCCGUAGUC
rnacentral:rRNA from 1 species